rnacentral:snRNA from 1 species
GUGCUCGCUUUGGCAACACACAUCCUAAAACAGGAAUGAUACAGAGAAGAUGAGCAAGGAUGACACAGAAAUUCAUGAAGCGCUCCACGUUAAA